rnacentral:rRNA from 1 species
UACGGAGGGUGCAAGCGUUAUCCGGAUUCACUGGGUUUAAAGGGUGCGUAGGCGGACAGGUAAGUCAGUGGUGAAAUCUCCGAGCUUAACUCGGAAACUGCCUUUGAUACUCUCUGUCUUGAAUAUGGUGGAGGUAAGCGGAAUAUGUCAUGUAGCGGUGAAAUGCUUAGAGAUGACAUAGAACACCUAUUGCGAAGGCAGCUUACUACACAGUUAUUGACGCUGAGGCACGAAAGCGUGGGGAUCAAACAGG